UGGACUGUGUAUGUGUGCAAUUCAAAGGUUGAAUUGGUAAGACAAAAUAUUUAAGUGCCUUUGAAUGGGGUAUGGUAGUAAGCGCCAGCUGCAUCCGUUUUAGUGUCAAAAACUGCAACGCUCAACAAUUUCCUGUGUGUAUCAAGACCACCCAAAGGACAUCGAGCCAACUUCACACAACUGUGGGACGCAUUGGAUUCAACAUUGCUCAGCAUCCCUGUGGAACGCUUGACACCUUGUAGAGUCCAUGCCCCAACGAAUUGAGGCUGUUCAGAGGGAAAAUGGGCUGCAACUCAAUAUUAGGAAGGUGUUCCUAAUGUUUUGUACACUAACUCCAGGGUUUUUUCUGGAACAAAAUGGGGCUUAGGUGGGGAGUGGCGGCAACGAUUUAGCAGCAGCGGCCCGCUGAAUAUGGGAAACACUGCCUUAUCGUCUUCCCCCACACCAUAUGAUCCCAGGAGGGAUGUCAUGUGUGAGCUUUCCCAUGCUCAGCCUAAAGGGUCAGCUACGGGCACAUGAUGAAAAUGCUGCAGACGCCAAGCUUGUUGCUAGUGUGUGUAGAUGGGCCUGUCCUGUGUGAGUAAGUUGGUCUCUGGUGUGCCCAUGCAUGUGAGAUUGCUGGCCUGCCUAAUUGUGACUGGUCCAAAAAUUUACCACGAACCCUGUAAUGAAGAAAAUGUAUAUUUGGAAACAGGAAAGGCCAUAAAUGUAAGGUUGAGUGACUGACUAGCAUUGACCUGACAAUAAUGUGUUAGCUUACUGUCAUUGGAAUUGAUUGCUGAAAACUGACAGUGUGCAACUUCACAACGUGGAGGGCCCAUGAAGACAAUAUGCCCUCUGCUGGAGAUCUAAACAACAGUGUAAAUCACCAUUAUACUUUUCAUCCUCUUUAUGCAAGACAUGUAGGAUCCCAAGAAAGAGAGUCCAUAUUGCUUACAAAUAGAUUUCUAUAAGGAGCCGAUAUUAAGGUGGGGUCUGUUUGGUCUGUCUACCACCGCCUACCUCAGAAACAUAAAUAACACUUGGACAAAUAUAGAGGAUAAAAGUCUGUGUGUGUGUGUGAGUGUACUGCUAUAUUAAAU